rnacentral:lncRNA from 1 species
CCUGGAUUCACCUGGUCAGUCUAUGUCAUGGAAAGAGCAGGUGGUCCUAAUGUUUUGUACACACAGUGUACAAAUCAAAUUCAAACCUGAUUAUAUCUGUUGGGAAAAUGUCACACUCCUCAAGAUAGUCAAUGUAAGGUUUCCAGAUUAUAUCAAACUUUAUUUUUUUUUGCUUAAUUUGAUAAAACACAGAAUAUAUUGGAAUGUAACUAUGCAGUUCAGCCCUCCAGUUCGUCAUUGACGCCACCAAAAUAAAGGCUGAACAGAGGAAGACAGGAGGGGGGGCCUCCACCUCCAGGGUUCACCCCAGCUGAGGAGUUGGUCCUGGACCACAGUAGAGGCUCAAAAACGGCUCCCAAGUGGCGCAGCAUCUCAGUGCUUGAGGCGUCACUACAGGCCCUGGUUCGAUUCCAGGCUGUAUCACAACCGGCCGUGAUUGGGAGUCCUAUUCGGCGCACAAUUGGCCCAGCGUCAUUAGGGUUUGGCUGGGUCACUGGCCACUCAAUAACUAUUCUGGAGGGGUCAUCGACUGAAUACAUUGCGGUACAACAGCAGAACCGUUUUAUGUUGGAGGACGAGCAUUAUGAUGAGGAGACCAUCUCGGCGUCUUCCGAGAGGCCUUUUGAGAUGUGCAACUCUGCUGGACUUUACACUGCUGGACCCCCUAACUCUACUGGACCUUGCACUGCUGGACCCCCUAACUUUGCUUUGUAUAGCAAUCAAAGUGAAACCGUGUAGGGUUACUUUUGCUAAAUAUGGGUUGAGAAAAUUGACCAGAUACAUGAUUGAUUGUGCGGAAAAACGAUAACGUUCAAAAAUAAAUUCUUUUGAAUGAUCUAAAGGAUGUAUUCGAGGUCCAAUAAUUUGUACCCUUUGUAAAGCACGAUGAACAAUGCAG